CCAGCCCAGCCCUGCCCCCCCAGCCCUGCCGGUGCCCCUCACUCCUGCCCCGCAGCCCCGGUGGGGCUCUCCCUGGGAGCUGACAGCUCUGCUCUCUCUCUCUCAGGACUCAUGCUGCUGCUCCAGGCGCUGCUGAGCUCCAGGCUCCUGGCACUGGGGUUCCCCGCGGCCGGGCAGGGCCCAGGGUUCAACGGAGUCGCCCGCUGGGGCCGGGAGAUGCAGGCGGAAUUUGGGAGCAGCUUGAAACUUGCCAGGAAACUCCUGCUGGAGACGAAAAUCCUCACGCAACAAUUUGUGUCGGAGCGUCUGGCCGGUGCCAAGCUGCCCUUCCCCGGACUGUCAAAGUCGGGGCUCCUGCCCCCCACGAGCCACACAGCCCAGCAGUGGCUGGCCCUGCCGGCGCUGCAGCGGCUGCGGGAGAUGAGGGGGGCGCUGGUCGCCUUUCAGGGCUACGUGCAGGUUCUGGGGCGCAGGGACCCCGGCCUGGCGCUGGGGCUGGAGGAAAUCAGCCUGGAUCUGCGGGACUUGAUGCACCACGUCGAUUACCAGGUGCGGGCUGGAGGGGUCGUGGGGGGGCGGGUUGGCUCCCGGGGGG
rnacentral:lncRNA from 1 species